rnacentral:rRNA from 1 species
UACGAAGGGGGCUAGCGUUGCUCGGAAUCACUGGGCGUAAAGGGUGCGUAGGCGGGUCUUUAAGUCAGGGGUGAAAUCCUGGAGCUCAACUCCAGAACUGCCUUUGAUACUGAAGAUCUUGAGUUCGGGAGAGGUGAGUGGAACUGCGAGUGUAGAGGUGAAAUUCGAUAGAUAUUCGCAAGAACACCAGUGGCGAAGGCGACUUCCUGGCCUGUUCUUGACGCUGAGGCGCGAAAGCUAGGGGAGCAAACGGG